CAGUCGCCGCGGUAAUACGUAGGUCCCGAGCGUUGUCCGGAUUUAUUGGGCGUAAAGCGAGCGCAGGCGGUUAGAUAAGUCUGAAGUUAAAGGCUGUGGCUUAACCAUAGUACGCUCUGGAAACUGUUUAACUUGAGUGCAAGAGGGGAGAGUGGAAUUCCAUGUGUAGCGGUGAAAUGCGUAGAUAUAUGGAGGAACACCGGUGGCGAAAGCGGCUCUCUGGCUUGUAACUGACGCUGAGGCUCGAAAGCGUGGGGAGCAAACAGGAUUAGAUACCCCAGUAGUCCCUGUCUCUUAUACA
rnacentral:rRNA from 1 species